rnacentral:rRNA from 1 species
GAUGAACGCUGGCGGCGUGCCUAAUACAUGCAAGUCGAGCGAACAGACGAGGAGCUUGCUCCUCUGACGUUAGCGGCGGACGGGUGAGUAACACGUGGAUAACCUACCUAUAAGACUGGGAUAACUACGAGAAACCGGAGCUAAUACCGGAUAAUAUAUUGAACCGCAUGGUUCAAUAGUGAAAGACGGUUUUGCUGUCACUUAUAGAUGGAUCCGCGCCGCAUUAGCUAGUUGGUAAGGUAACGGCUUACCAAGGCAACGAUGCGUAGCCGACCUGAGAGGGUGAUCGGCCCCACUGGAACUGGGCCACGGUCCAGACUCCUACGGGAGGCCGCAGUAGGGACUCUUCCGCAAUGGGCGAAAGCCUGACGCAGCAACGCCGCAUGAGUUAUGAAGGUCUUCGGAUCGUAAAACUCUGUUAUUAGGGAAGAACAAAUGUGUAAGUAACUGUGCACGUCUUGACGGUACCUAAUCAGAAAGCCACGGCUAACUACGUG